GCCACAUCAUGUUGAAACACCAGUUCCCGUACGAUCACAGAAGUUAAGCAACGUCGAUCCUGGUCAGUACCUAGAUGGAUGACCACUUGGGAAUACCAGGUUCUGU